GUUCGGUGGUCUUGAGCAAUUUCCUCCUUCUUUCCUGGCCUUAGUUUCCUGCAUUUACCAUAAUAGGGUUGAACUACAUUGGGCAGUUCCCAGCCUUUCUUCUGCUCUAACAUGCAUGAUGGGGGAUGCGCAUUCACAUGCCCUCAGCUGUGGGCACUCUCAGAAUCCGGACCUGUGGCAUCAAUAAGACAGGUAAUAGGUCGCCUGUAGGGCUAGAAUGCCAUCCCUACAUUUCCCACUCCUAAGAGCAUAACAGAAUGCGAGUGAGAGUAAGGCUAGACUUGUUGUGAACUUUGAAUCACUUCUUAUGUGUGUGUGUGUGUCUCUACUUGUCUGUUCCUCUAUUAUCUAGCAUCUUUCUCUCUACCAUCUAUCUAUCUGCUAUAUAUCUACCAUCUAUUUUAACAUUUGUCUAAAGCUCACAUCUUUUAAAAUUUGAUCUAUUUAAUAACACAAUAUUUUAAAGAAAAUCCUUUACCAAUGUCUACAAUACCUAACCACUAAGUGUUACAGAUAACUUGUGACCCACCUUUUGGUUCUCUCUGACACACCAAUGCCUCUGGGCAUCUCCCGGUUGUAUAACCCCAUAGGACCGUUUCAGCUCUGUUUUUUUCUGACUAUCAAAAUGGGGGUGGGUGAAGGAGAUUGAGAAAAUACCCAAGGGAGAGCAGUCUUGGAGUUGGAGCUGCUGUGAAGGAAGCUAUGGGGUGUGACAUUGUGAUUCUGAAAGGGAAGGAGGGUCAUAUGGGCACAAAAAGAUAAAUGCAGCCAGCUCACAGAUUGACUAGAGGCCCAUCACUGACUCCCAGAUCAGUAAUUCUCAAACCUAAAGUGAACACAAAUUACCCAGGAUCUUGUUAAAAUGCAGAUUUUCAAUCAGUAGGUCUGGGAUAAGGACCAACAUUCCGCAUUUGUAAUGAGCCCCCAAUUAAUUCUGAUUCUGGUGGUCCAUGAAGCAUACUUUGAGUAUCAAAGGCUUUUUUUCUUUUCCCUUCUCCACAGAGAGUGGCACAGAAGAGGAGGUCAAACUCAGCAAGAUGGUGAUGAAACUGUGGGCCAACUUUGCUCGGAAUGGGGACCCCAAUGGAGAGGGGCUGCCCCAUUGGCCAGCAUAUGACCAGAAGGAAGGGUACCUGAAGAUUGGCAUCACCACUAAGGCAUCCCAGAAGCUGAAAGACAAGGAGGUGGCUUUCUGGACUGAGGUCCUGGCCAAGAAGGCAGCAGAGAAGCCACCGCAGACAGAGCACAUUGAGCUAUGAACAGAGGGCCAACUGGGUAUCUACAUGGGCAUUCUACAGAAGGCACUUAUAGCUCAAAGAGGCUUCUUAUUGUGGAGGCUGAAGAAUUGUCUGGUGGGAUGGAGAAUUUUGUACUGAUUGCCUCAAUUUGGGGAAUAAAUGUUUUGGAGAUGAA